UCCAGGGGUAUACGACUUAGGUCUGUGUCGCCCAGGUGUGUGCGACUGGUAAGUUUAGUUGAGGUGUUGUUUGUGUGUGUGUGUGUGCGACUGGUAAGUUUAGUUGAGGUGUUGUUUGUGUGUGUGUGUGUGCGACUGGUAAGUUUAGUUGAGGUGUUGUUUGUGUGUGUGUGUGUGUGUGUGUGUGUGUGUGUGUGUGUGUUGUGUCACAGGAUCAUACAAAUAUAUAUAUUUACAACCUUACCUUUACAAGUGUGUAUGAUUUUAACAUAGGGUAGGUUCAUAGGUGAUGUGACACCUACAUCUUGUGGUCACACAAAGGUACUGCACUUUCAAGAAUCCUUUUUCCAAAUGUAGUAUUUUUGUAGUAUCUAAAAAAACAGAAUAUAAAAAUAGAUGUUCAGGCAAGAGUAGAUGUUCUCAAAUGUAUCUUUAUGUAAAGUAAUUAUGAAAUAUAGAUAAAAAAAAACAUUAUUGAAAUUCCAAGGGUAUUUCUAACUUAAUUAACACAUAUAACACAUAAUUGAAAUCAACCUUCACAAUUGAAAUCUAUUUUCAGCAAUGAUCAAACAUAAAACUCAUCUUGAAAAAUCACACAUAAUUGAUAAUUAAAGUCAUGUCUUCAUAAUUUAAAUGUACAGAACUAUUGAACAAUAAUGUAACAUCAAAAAUCUUAAUACCAGUGAAUAAACCAUAGGGAGUCGGCCAUGAGACAGGAACUGCACAUACGAAAGGCAGACAUGAGUGAUGCACCGACAAAGGUUUAGCUGUAGUGUGGUCAGGGGAGUGAAACGUCCAAGGUUCAAAUCUAAGGUCUGAACCUGGUUAUGCUCGGUCCAUCCAUCCACUGACCACUAAAGACCAAUCCAAGCCAGGCCAAGUUCACAAGCACACAUCCCCUCUCAUUUCUACAUCUGAUUAUGAGUAUGACCUUUUGAUCCCUCAGAAAACCGAUAUAACCAUUCAAUGGCCUCAAAUAAUUUUUAACCACAUGAAUUAUGUUCCAAUGAUUUUUAAUAACAUGAGUUAUGUUUAAAAGAUUUUUAAACCACAUGAUUUGUUCUCUUAGUAAAUUAAUCAAAUUGUAGACCCAGGGUACCCGAUGGAGGGCUGUAUGAAUCCGGGGAGGACCGCUAAUGGUUCAAAAUAAAUAUGAAAUUUAGAAAAUUUACGUCAGGGCUAGGGGUUAGUGAGGCUAUGGUUAGCAGAUUUAUGGUUAGGGUUAGGGGCUAGUCUGGGGUUAAUUGCAACUAGGUAUAUAGAUAAAAACGAGUUUCACCCUCAUUAAUUCCACCCUCAUUAGCAUAUGCGAUCUGAUUGGCCAAAGCUUACCUGGCCGUAUCUUUUGAAGCGGAGGUCCGAUGUUCACAUAACUGGUAUCGUUGGAUUCAGGAAGCUGUCGUCUUUCAGGUAGCGUGGAUGUAUGGAAGAAAGGAUGUUGCUUUCAAAUCCAAUGUGACCUUACAACAGUCUAAAGUGUGACAAAAAAAGGAAGUCAGUCAUCGGUAAAGGCAAAAAAUACAUCCAAAUGAAAUAACCUGUGAAAUCAAUGGUCUUUUUAGCAAGAAGGUAUUACAAGCCUGUAUAAAAACAGUUUUCCAGACAGUUUGUGUGUGUGUGUGUGUGUGUGUGUGUGUGUGUGUGAGUGUGCACAGGAGUGUGUGUUUGUGUGUGUGUGUUUGUGAGAGAGAGAGUGCAUCAUUAGAAGUUAGACUUGAAAGAUGUCUUUGAAUAAAGUCAGCCGCUCAAGAGCUCCCUCUGGAGUGUAAUUUUCUGCUAAAAUGUUGGAAUCCUUAGCAAUUUCGAACACAUGGCUAUUCACAGUUUUAUCCAGGAGAGGGCGACUGAGAAGCCAAGGGUUAUUUCCUGGAGAAGAUAGAUGGGUAGACACAGGUGUGUGUGACUGGUAAGAUCAGUUGAGGUGCUGUGUUUGUGUGUGUGUUUGUUGGAAAGCGCUCGGAUCAAAUGCCGGAGCAUAGAAUCGCAAGGCAGUGACGGGGUUCUCCACAAGAGGGCGACGUUCUGUGUGGGUAACUUGGGGUUAGACAGGAUAAGGGAUGACAACCAGGAUUAGACAAGACACGAUCAUACAACUGUAUUAGAGAGAACAUCUUUUGAGUUUUGUGUGACUGUGUCUGUGCUCGACUGUGUCACUUUUUUAUGACGAACAUGGUUGCACCUCUAUGUAUACAAUGAGAAUGAUUAUUGCUUAUCAAAAUAUGUAUAAUUGUAUUCUUAGCAAGGAGUAUGUGAUUUUUUUUUUCAGUGCGGCCUAGGUGAUUGUGUGCAACAAACAUGUACGUCUUUGUGUACAGUGUAUAUGUAAGUUUGAUGAUGAUUUAAAUGUGAAUGAUUUAUCAUUUUAUUUUAAUCCAGGGGUAUACGACUUAGGUCUGUGUCGCCCAGGUGUGUGCGACUGGUAAGUUUAGUUGAGGUGUUGUUUGUGUGUGUGUGUGUGUGUGUGUGUGUGUGUGUGUGUGUGUGUUGUGUCACAGGAUCAUACAAAUAUAUAUAUUUACAACCUUACCUUUACAAGUGUGUAUGAUUUUAACAUAGGGUAGGUUCAUAGGUGAUGUGACACCUACAUCUUGUGGUCACACAAAGGUACUGCACUUUCAAGAAUCCUUUUUCCAAAUGUAGUAUUUUUGUAGUAUCUAAAAAAACAGAAUAUAAAAUAGAUGUUCAGGCAAGAGUAGAUGUUCUCAAAUGUAUCUUUAUGUAAAGUAAUUAUGAAAUAUAGAUAAAAAAAAACAUUAUUGAAAUUCCAAGGGUAUUUCUAACUUAAUUAACACAUAUAACACAUAAUUGAAAUCAACCUUCAUAAUUUAAAUGUACAGAACUAUUGAACAAUAAUGUAACAUCAAAAUCUUAAUACCAGUGAAUAAACCAUAGGGAGUCGGCCAUGAGACAGGAACUGCACAUACGAAAGGCAGACAUGAGUGAUGCACCGACAAAGGUUUAGCUGUAGUGUGGUCAGGGGAGUGAAACGUCCAAGGUUCAAAUCUAAGGUCUGAACCUGGUUAUGCUCGGUCCAUCCAUCCACUGACCACUAAAGACCAAUCCAAGCCAGGCCAAGUUCACAAGCACACAUCCCCUCUCAUUUCUACAUCUGAUUAUGAGUAUGACCUUUUUGAUCCCUCAGAAAAACCGAUAUAACCAUUCAAUGGCCUCAAAUAAUUUUUUUAACCACAUGAAUUAUGUUCCAAUGAUUUUUAAUAACAUGAGUUAUGUUUAAAAGAUUUUUAAACCACAUGAUUUGUUCUCUUAGUAAAUUAAUCAAAUUGUAGACCCAGGGUACCCGAUGGAGGGCUGUAUGAAUCCGGGGAGGACCGCUAAUGGUUCAAAAAUAAAUAUGAAAUUUAGAAAAAUUUACGUCAGGGCUAGGGGUUAGUGAGGCUAUGGUUAGCAGAUUUAUGGUUAGGGUUAGGGGCUAGUCUGGGGUUAAUUGCAACUAGGUAUAUAGAUAAAAACGAGUUUCACCCUCAUUAAUUCCACCCUCAUUAGCAUAUGCGAUCUGAUUGGCCAAAGCUUACCUGGCCGUAUCUUUUGAAGCGGAGGUCCGAUGUUCACAUAACUGGUAUCGUUGGAUUCAGGAAGCUGUCGUCUUUCAGGUAGCGUGGAUGUAUGGAAGAAAGGAUGUUGCUUUCAAAUCCAAUGUGACCUUACAACAGUCUAAAGUGUGACAAAAAGGAAGUCAGUCAUCGGUAAAGGCAAAAAAUACAUCCAAAUGAAAUAACCUGUGAAAUCAAUGGUCUUUUUAGCAAGAAGGUAUUACAAGCCUGUAUAAAAACAGUUUUCCAGACAGUUUGUGUGUGUGUGUGUGUGUGUGUGUGUGUGUGUGUGAGUGUGCACAGGAGUGUGUGUUUGUGUGUGUGUGUUUGUGAGAGAGAGAGAGUGCAUCAUUAGAAGUUAGACUUGAAAGAUGUCUUUGAAUAAAGUCAGCCGCUCAAGAGCUCCCUCUGGAGUGUAAUUUUCUGCUAAAAUGUUGGAAUAGAGUUAGGUUAGGGUUAGGGUUAGGUUAGGUUAGGGUUAGGGUUAGGUUAGGGUUAGGUUAGAGAGGGUUAGGGUUAGGGUUAGAGUUAGGUUAGGGUUAGGUUAGGGUUAGGGUUAGGGUUAGGGUUAGGGUUAGGGUUAGGGUUAGGGUUAGGGUUAGGGUUAGGGUUAGGGUUAGGGUUAGGGUUAGGGUUAGGUUAGGGUUAGGGUUAGGGUUAGUUAGGGUUAGGGUUAGAGUUAGGGUUAGGGUUAGGGUUAGGUUAGGGUUAGGGUUAGGGUUA
ensembl:lncRNA